rnacentral:rRNA from 1 species
CGGCCCGUAAACCCCUGUCAUUUGCGAACAAAUGUGCCCACUUAACACGUGUGUACUUGAUGGUAGCGAAAGAGGAAGGGACGGCUAACUCUGUGC